rnacentral:lncRNA from 1 species
AAAAAAGCUCACGUAACUCUCCUAUAUAAACCCUCAUUUCCCUUCUCUCUCCUAAUUAGACACAGCCAAAAAAAAGUCGCAUUUUUGUUAGCUUCUCUCUCCCUCUCGUCGUGAACUGAAACCCAUCUCGCGAAAAAGAAUCGGCCCCUUCUCCCUCUCUAAGCCUGAGGAAUCUCUGCCUUCUCCCUCUCUCUUCGCGAUAUAUAUCUCCGCCUUCUCCCUGUCUCUUCGCGAGGAACCGACGCCUUCGCAUCCAACGACCCCUUCUCCCUUUCUCGUCGAUUCAGUGGCAAGGUAACAAAAUUAGAACUUUGGGUGAUGAUUUUCUUGUUUUAUGGGUUAAAAUCAGGCUUAGAGAAGAACUAAUUUGUGAUUUGGUGUUCAAUAAUAACUUUAUAGGGCUUAAAAUUUAUGAGGGCCAAACCCUAUAAUCUGCAAAAAAUUUACUACACUUGUGGAAUCAAUUGAAAUUCAGCCUUUUAAAGAACAUGGCCCACCUAUUUUACUCGUUUAUGCAACUGAGGUGUCUUCUUGUUUUGUAUUUACUUUAAGGUUUUUAAUUCUGGAGUCCUCUGUCCAUCACUUUGAUGCUGAUCUAUGUUAUUUGUCUUAGGCGGGGAGUUCAGGGUUUCGAAAAAUGUUUGUUAAACAGAAGAAGUUUGACAAUAUUAAAGAAAUAGAUUUGGCUUCUGGAAUUUAGUUGCUAAAAUGUUUUAUAAUCUAAUUAGGAAUUUAGAUUUGGCUUCAAGAACGUAUGAUGUGUAUGUGUAUGUAUGGAUGGAUGUAUUGAUAAACACUUAUUUUUGUGUUUUUUAAUAGUUGUGUGUGUCUGGAUGAGAUGAUUUAGUCUAUGCAAGUUCAUUUAUGGAUUUGAUGACAAGUGUUACUAUUAUUAUUCAAUUGAAGUUUGUAGUUUGUACAGUCCUAAAAUGCUUUCUAAUCCAAUUAGGAAAUUGGAUUGGGUUUGAUGUCUAGCAAGUUUCCUCACCCCUCUAUUUGAAAAUGUCUCCCCCACCCCAACCCCAGUAUGGAUGGACUGAUUUGAUUUGUGUAAUAUGAAUGGACUAAUUUGAGGUCAAUGCAUUACUUAUGAUGGAAUUAGUAUCUUUCUAUGAGAAAUUAUGUCAUAUACUCAUAUCUCAUAUCUUUACCAGUCGAGUACACUUGUAGGUAUCAGAAAUUUUCUUUGUCAUGAUUUUUUUGUACAUGAUGUAUUACACCAGGACUGAAUAUUAUGUUUCUUGUGCUGAGCUCUUGCACCAAACCAGAUUUAGAACCUGAGGGAGCACACUUGGGGCAUAGACAGGAUCUCUCACAAUUAAAACUGAACACAUCUCAAUUGCGUGACAUGGUUUGCAAACACAGCUGCUGAUAACUUUGUGGUUUGAUGACAGGUUUAGGCUUCUAUAAGGGAUUUGUAAUAUGAGAGGUUUGUAAAGUGAUCAUACUGUUGUGUAUCUAAUAUAAGAGGUUUGUAAAGUGAUACGGUUGGUUCAUUAAUGCUAUGAUCCAAACAGCCUUAGAUAUUGCCAAGUAACUGUAAUAAAAGAAUUUUAUAGGCUUAUACAGGCUUAUACUUGAACAAAGAAAGAGCAUCGUUUGUUCCUUGUGCAGAUAAUGGCCUUGUAAGAGUCUUCUUCUAUUCUUAGUGAGCCAAUAAAAUAGAAUUUAGAAGUAAGAUUGGAGGUUUGUGUCGCGCUCAAUUUGGUUUGUCCAAAAAGUUGGCCUUUUGUUCUAGGGUAAAAUUGAAAAAUACUUAUAUCCUGCUGUGACUUUCAAGUAAUGCAAAAACUCAAUGAUUCAUGAGUUUCCAUGAUUCAUGCUUUCCAGAAUUCUAUGCAAAAUAAGCCUAAUCCACAAUAAUUCAGUAAAUACAAACUAUAACAAACAAGAAAUUACUAACCUAAAAACUAUGUUUCAGAAAGAAAAAAACUAAGGUAUUGAAGUGAUGCAAUGAUUAUUAUGGCAGACGACAAAAAGAAGUAGACAUACAGCUGCUUGAUUAAAUAUAAUCAAACUCACAAACAUAUGGCAGUAGAAGGCUUUGAAAUGACAUUAUAGCCUAUUUAACGUUACAUAUCACCACUUAGAAACAAAAGAAGCUAUUGAUUCAUUUUUGUCCACAGAGAAUAAUUUUACAUCCAGAAGAUUUUCAGAGAAUUAUCACAAGAGUUGACAAAGUAAAUCUGCAAGCUACCAAACACAUGAACAUAUGCACCAG